rnacentral:rRNA from 1 species
UACGUAGGGUGCAAGCGUUGUCCGGAAUUAUUGGGCGUAAAGAGCUCGUAGGCGGUCUGUCGCGUCUGCUGUGAAAACUCAGGGCUUAACCCUGAGCUUGCAGUGGGUACGGGCAGACUAGAGUGCGGUAGGGGAGACUGGAAUUCCUGGUGUAGCGGUGAAAUGCGCAGAUAUCAGGAGGAACACCGGUGGCGGAAGGCGGGGUCUCUGGGACGGUACUGACGC